UGCAGAAUCCCGUGAGUCAUCCAGUCUUUGAAUGCAAGUUGCGCCCGAGGCUUCGAACGAGGGCACGUCUGCCUGGGUGUCGCACACAAUCGAAUCGCCCCAUUUGCCUGCGUGCGGGCGGUGGAGGGGAGCUGGCUGUCCGUGUCCCUUGUGACACCGUCGGCUUAACCGGAUUGGGCUCUCGUUGUCGGGCAUCGGCGAGCGGUGGUUCGGUCGUCCUGGCCGAUCGAUACGCGACACCGUAAGUGCACGGCACGCGGGGAAGGCCCUCCUCGACUUGAUCACUCGGGAGGCCUAGGCUUCGGCCGGAGUUCCUUCCGUCCACGUCACGCGACCCCAGGUCAGGCGAGAGCACCCGCUGAGUUUAAGCAUAUCACUAAGCGGAGGAAAAGAAACUUACAAGGAUUCCCCUAGUAACGGCGAGCGAACCGGGAAGAGUCCAGCAUGAAAAUCGGGCGGCGGUUGCCGUCCGA
rnacentral:sRNA from 1 species